rnacentral:rRNA from 1 species
AGAGUUUGAUCAUGGCUCAGGACGAACGCUGGCGGCGUGCUUAACACAUGCAAGUCGAGCGGUAAGGCCCUUCGGGGUACACGAGCGGCGAACGGGUGAGUAACACGUGGGUGACCUGCCUCAGCUCUGGGAUAAGCCUGGGAAACUGGGUCUAAUACCGGAUAUGACCUCUCAUCGCAUGGUGGGUGGUGGAAAGUUUUUCGGCUGGGGAUGGGCCCGCGGCCUAUCAGCUUGUUGGUGGGGUGAUGGCCUACCAAGGCGACGACGGGUAGCCGGCCUGAGAGGGCGACCGGCCACACUGGGACUGAGACACGGCCCAGACUCCUACGGGAGGCAGCAGUGGGGAAUAUUGCGCAAUGGGCGGAAGCCUGACGCAGCGACGCCGCGUGGGGGAUGACGGCCUUCGGGUUGUAAACCUCUUUCGACCGGGACGAAGCGCAAGUGACGGUACCGGUAGAAGAAGCACCGGCCAACUACGUGCCAGCAGCCGCGGUAAUACGUAGGGUGCGAGCGUUGUCCGGAAUUAUUGGGCGUAAAGAGCUCGUAGGCGGUGUGUCGCGUCGGUCGUGAAAACUUGGGGGCUUAACCCUGAGCUUGCGGUCGAUACGGGGCAUCACUGGAGUUCGGCAGGGGAGACUGGAAUUCCUGGUGUAGCGGUGAAAUGCGCAGAUAUCAGGAGGAACACCGGUGGCGAAGGCGGGUCUCUGGGCAACAACUGACGCUGAGGAGCGAAAGCGUGGGGAGCGAACAGGAUUAGAUACCCUAGUAGUCC